CCGGCAGAGGCGACGCUGGUGACGGCGGUCAGCACGGAGUGAGCAGGAAAGCGAGGCCAUUUGAGCAGCCAUACCAAGAGUCCUGAGGAAUGUCACGAGUAACCGAUGCAACAGAGGAAUCAAGAUGCUCUCAGACCAUAACAGGGACGAGGAGCCGCCAGGGGAGCUCUCCGAACACCAGGUGAAGGAGCAACUCGGGGAGGUGCGGCACCAAACUGUCCUUCACUGGAAUCAUAGAGGACUAAGGUCUCAUCUGGAGAGAAUUUUAGAGGAAGGGUCGCAUAUUCGUCAUGUUGUUCAGCUGACGCGCAGUCUUGUAACCUGCUGAGUACUGAAGAAGUGAAAAGCAGAUCCAGCACAAGCGGAAAUAUUCAUUACACUUGCAUACGAUAUCCCGAAUAUAAUCCCCGGCAAAAGUAAACGACAACACAAGACAAAUACAAGCUUUUGACACCUCCAUCUCUGCAGUGUGAACUUUUUAAAGAUUCCAUUUCCCGAGAACUUGGGAUCUCUUGCAUAACUGACUUACUGUUAUCUCCAUGGGAACUGUUGAGAGCAUUACUGGACUCAGUUGGUACAGAUUUUUUCAUAGGCGAUGUUACGUACUUACAAGUCUUGGAUGUCAGCAGCACUAAGAUCACAGGGGGGCCCCAGUCAUUAGCCAAGCUUACAUUGUAAUGGUCUCCGGUGGCAGUUAACAAUAAAAUAAAGAGUUUCUGUAAAGACUUACGUCGACUUCGAAACCUCUAAGUGCCAAUGCAGAGUGGCAACAACGUAACUCGUUUUGGGGAGGACUUCACGGCCUCUACGUAGACCACAAUUAGCAGAAGGAGUUGCCACAUUCAUCGCCACUCUGCCGAUGCUCAGCUGUGUCUCUUGCUGUUUAAUUCUCCGACUCAUCUUAGAGCUCUCUCCUGUAAGGCUCUCUGUGUGUUUUUUUGUUAGGUGUCAUUAGAUUGCUGUUAUUGCUGAUAGUAUUUUUAGGUUUUUAUUAUUUGUGAUACUUUUUAAAUUUGUUUUUGUUGUUUUUGUUGUUGUUAGUAGUGUUGUUAUUAUUAUAUUUAUUUUAGUUAUUAUUGAUAGUAGUAGUAU